AGAUUAAACUGAAGAGUUUGAUCCUGGCUCAGAUUGAACGCUGGCGGCAUGCCUUACACAUGCAAGUCGAACGGCAGCACGGAGCUUGCUCUGGUGGCGAGUGGCGAACGGGUGAGUA
rnacentral:rRNA from 1 species